rnacentral:ncRNA from 1 species
CACUGUCACUUGACUCUCUUUAGUUUGCUUAUACUUUAAAGAAUGGCCCAAAGUAUUGACAACACAAGCAAAGAUUGCUAUAGCUUGUUCCCUGCCAGGCCACUUAGCUUACAUGAAUGUGUGACCCACAGUAGUACAGGACUUAAAGCCCCAAGUGACAGGGGACAGUGUCAGGUGGGGAGUCACACCAGGGCAGUAUACCUGUCAAACCAAAAUGCAGUCUCUGAGGGUAAGUGCAGGAAAGAUGUAAAUCUCCUGUGAAGCAGAAUGGCAAAAGCUCACCUGAUCUUGAUUUUAAGAUUUUUUGUGAAAGAAAGGCCUUAUGAUAUUUCUGACUCUUUGUUUAGUAAGCAGGAGGUGUCAUAGAAGUUACCACAGGAACGAUAGGGAGGACAAGUGUUUAUAAGGACACAAAAUUGAAAAUUUAAAGUUUCAAAUUGUUUUUUCCUUGUUGUGUCUUCUCUUUGUUUCAGUGUAAGGCAGAAUUCACUGAGCUCUGGAUUGUUCUUCCUCUAGGAAGGAAUGUGAUCUGGCUUUUGGCUGUUUUAAGAAAGGUUAGUU